rnacentral:rRNA from 1 species
UACGUAAGUGGCGAGCGUUAUCCGGAAUUACUGGGCGUAAAGCGUGCGUAGGCGGUUUAGUGUGUGGGAAUUGAAAGCCCGGGGCUCAACUCCGGAUCCGGUUCCCAAACUGCUAGACUUGAGCGUAUCAGAGGACAGUGGAAUUCCCGGUGUAGCGGUAAUAUGCGUAGAUAUCGGGAGGAACACCAGUGGCGAAGGCGACUGUCUGGGGUAUUGCUGACGCUGAGGCACGAAAGCCAGGGGAGCGAACGGG